rnacentral:rRNA from 1 species
AAGUCGUAACAAGGUUUCCGUAGGUGAACCUGCGGAAGGAUCAUUACCGAGUGAUACUCCAAACCCUUUGUGGACCACCAGUGUUUAUCGUACCGUGUUGCUUCGGCGGGCCCGCCAUUCGUGGCCGCCGGGAGCCAUUUGCCCCCGGGCCAGCGCCCGACGGAGACAGAGGACCCACAACACUGUCUGAAGGGUGCAGUCUGAUUGAAUUGACUAAAUAGUCAAGACUUUCAACAACGGAUCUCUUGGUUCCGGCAUCGAUGAAGAACGCAGCGAAAUGCGAUAAGUAAUGUGAAUUGCAGAAUUCAGUGAAUCAUGGAUUCUUGAAACGCACAUUGCGCCCGGGAGUAUUCUGGGGGGCAUGCCUGUCCGAGCGUCAUUGCUGCCCUCGAGCCGGCUUGUAGUGUUGGGUCGUCGGGCCAUUACAGGUGGACGUGGGCCCGGAAAAGCAGCGGCGGCCCCGCCUCAGCUUCCUCGAGCGUAUGUAACUUGUCAGUCUCUCUGUAGGUCCCGGCGGUGCUUGCCGGUCAACAUCAUUAUUUUAUACGGUUUGACCUCGGAUCAGGUAGGGAUACCCGCUGAACUUAA